UUAAUUCAAGAUAUCUAUGGUUGUAUAAAGGCUGUUAUACCAGAGUAUCAAGUCCAUGUCAAAGAUGCAAACAAGCUGGAAUCAAAGUGUGAGGUCAUCAUGGAGAACCUGAGGAGGGAAGACCUAAGAAUCACCCUCUGGGGUGAUGUUGCCAGAGACUUUGAUAUAGAAACCAUUCAGGCAUUACCACCACCAGUCCUUGCUGUAUUAACAAGUUUAAGAAUCACGAAAUUCCAAGAACAAAUGACAGCAUCUGGUACAAAUCACACCUGCAUUUUCUUAAAUCCAGCGAUUCCAGGAGCAGAAGAAUACACAGCUGAGU